UACGUAGGUGACAAGCGUUGUCCGGAUUUACUGGGCGUAAAGAGCGCGCAGGCGGUCGAUCAAGUCGAGUGUGAAAGCCCCCGGCUCAACUGGGGAGGGUCACUCGAUACUGAUCGACUCGAAGGCAGGAGAGGGUAGUGGAAUUCCCGGUGUAGUGGUGAAAUGCGCAGAUAUCGGGAAGAACACCCGUGGCGAAGGCGGCUCUCUGGGACGGUACUGACGCUGAGACGCGAAAGCGUGGGGAGCGAACAGG
rnacentral:rRNA from 1 species